UUGACUCAGCCAAAAUACAUAGAUGGCGUGAAUAUUAAUUUGGAUGCUUGGAGAAGGUUACAUCAUAUGAGUAGUUUGAAUAAAACUCUCUUAUUUCAACAAUACAAUAAUUUAAAUCUCGGUGACAUUUCCUGGGAAUCAGCGUAGAAACUUGCUAUCUAUUUGGAGGUUUCUUCAAGAAACAAUUCCUUAACAGGAAAAAGAGUGAUAGAGCUUGGUGCAGGGCUUGGCUGUGUUGGUAUAGCAGCUGCUUGUCUCUUGGAGGAGAUGUAACAAUUACAGAUCUACCUAGCGUCCUCCCGUUCAUGCUGGAAAGUAUUUACAGGAAUAAGGAUCAGAUAGAAGGGACAGGUGGAAAGGCUCGUGCUCAAAUUUUAACGUGGGGUGACAGUAAAGACAUGAGAUCUUUGCCGAAACAAGAUGUUAUUUUGAUGUCAAAUAUCAUUAGCAAUGAGCAUGUCUGUUCACCCUUUGAUUUCAACACUUAUUAGCCUUUCACAUAAGGGAACGACGUUGCUGAUUUGUCAAAAAAGUUUUUCCGAGCCCGAGUUAUCGGCAUAUUGGCGACUAUUUCAUAAGUAUGCAAGUAAAUUUUUUACUUUUACCGAGAUUCCUUGCGUCAAUUCUAUUGGACUCAUGAUGGAAAAAGGUGGGUGGAUGCGCUACUUUUUAAAGGGAAAAGUCAUCAUUCAUUGUCAGUGCUCUGACUGGUCCACUUUGAUUUACACCAUUGGGAAAGUUCACCAAAUCGUAAAUGUACGUUCGCCCCAUCGAGUGAUGCGGACACGCCUGAGCAAACUCGUUACCUUCAGAUGAGCUUUUUUCGCAUCCGUGGCAAUUUGCAAGGAGACAGAAACAGUCGGCAUACGAAGCAGAUGUCAGCCCGGACGUCCGCACCUUAGUCUCGCCAAACUCGGACGGAGCCGAAUGAUUUAUUCCUUUGAUUCCGACCCCCAUCCCCCACCCUCGCCCCACUACCCCCCUCCCACCAUCUCCGCCUCAGCCUCCGAUGGCAGCCCUUGCGCACGUCGCGUUGUUCCCUUGCGAAAUGAGCAUUCGUAAAGGCGGCCCGUUUAGAGAGGCCUUUUCCGCUGAGUGUGCGUCUCGCAUUUUGAGAUGUCCGCAGCGUUCGAGGGGGGAUGGGAGGGGGAGUACCGCAGUGUUCGCAACACGGCCGCCGAGUGGUGAGGGGAACAGUCGAAUCCCAAGGUCUUAAAAUUGAAAUGAGGGUGCCGCAUUUGGCUCGAUAUUGACUUUUUCCAGUCUCGAGGUGAAUCUACACAAUACAUAUGGUGUACGUAUAAAUAAAAGCAUCGAGAUACCGUGUACAUAUCGUUGAAUCACCGGUUUUAUUUUAAAUUUUGGCAAAAUGGGAUCCAUCACGCGUAGAUGAUUAUUUUGGCUAUUCUGCUCAAAAAGUAUUUAUUACCAACCUUUAAAUGAAGCCGACGAUCUCCGAACAAGAAAAAUUGCAUUUUUUGAGGGCGUGAAACAUUUAAUUUUUCUGUUCGGAUACUUUUGAUUUUAUAUCGGGAUUUAUAGAAUACUUUUUUGAAUGUUAACAGCUGAAAUUUGUAUAAUGGUUGUGCCAAAAAUUCAAAGUAGAUCUGGUAUUUUAGCAUCAUUUUAAAUUUCGAUCAUUGCUUACUUGCGCUAUACAUUCACAUUUAGAUGAAUCCUUAUCGUUACUCCUAAAAGAACCACUACAUCGCAUUGUUCCAAUUUGAUGUUUGAAUAAGCAAUUUCUUUUAAACUGUAUGAUCAAUUUUAAAAUCUAAUCCGCAGCAAAAGAAUAUGUAGAAUAUAAAAACCGAAGAAAAGAACUUUGGUAUUUUUCAGAACAAUGCUGGCAAUUCAAUUCGAUUUUUGCGUACAGGUUUCAAUCAAUGAGAGGGAGAUAGCUACAAUAUUAAGUGAAAUAGCCAAUACUGCUGAAAGCAAUCGCUCAUACAUGGCUGAUUUAUCUAUCUUUCAUCGCCCGGGAACUUCAGAGACUUCGUCACGGAAUCGGUGUUGAAAACUGGGAAUUUCUUCUCAAAUAAUGUUUAUAAAUUCUAAUCCGAAUUAGCUCGGCUUUUAAAAAUCAGACAUUAGAAAAAGAGUUACAGAGGAAAAACUGGGGUUUCCUACAAGAAUCUGGAAAACAGUGAGAGGGCAAUCGGAAUUUUCAUCAGAGAAUCUUCAUUAAGAAAUCCUGAAAUUUGAGCACCAUUUUUUACUUUCGUUUUAAUGUACAGAACUCAGGCUUUCACUUACUUUUAUUUGAACAUCACGCGUUUUGGUGACUGCCUUGGCCACCAUCAUCAGCCAAAGCCGAGCUUUUUAAAGUAAAACACGGUGUUAAAAAUAACUUUUUUUUUUUUUUUUUUUUUUUUUUUUUUUAAAAAACAAGGUGCUACCCACUGCAACAUUUUGAAUUGUCAGGAGAUGAAAAGAUAACAAAUUCCAGGUAUCGCAGAUCAGCUUCUGUUCAGAGCCCAAUAUGGCGACGCAGCUUCCUUUUUGUCGUGCGAAGCAUAAGGGUGCCGGAAUCGCAGGGCGCUGGUUUUAUUGUCCUGCAAAUGCCCAAUAAAGCGUUUCCCAUGUUUAAAGGCCUCGUAAAUGCGUAUUGAUAAGCGGGUUCUUUUUAUGGAACCCCGCAAAACGGCGUUGUCAAUAGUUCAAGUGAAGCUCGGUCGCAUCGCAUCCCUUCUCAGGAGACAAUACGAUGAUUUCAUUACAAUUUGGCAGCGGAGUUACGAUUCAGCGUAGCAUCACGCUGCGACGCCGAUCCACGAACGAUGUUAAAUUAACGCUUGAUCGAAGUCCAUUCGUAUUUUCCUUCUCCUUUCCGGUGCAGAGCUUCUGGAAAAAUCAAGUUUUUACCAGACAAACCUCGGUUUGCAGUGAAGUAAGGUAGGAGCAGGAACGAGUGGUAAUUUUAGGUCGUGUAUCACAGAAUUUAAAUAAAAUUAAGUUGAGUAUUUUAUUCAAACUCAAAAUGUCAUUUUAGGCUCUUCGAAACACUAUCAUAUGAAAAUUAGUCAUUUUGCAUUCGAUGCAUGCAGCGCGAACAGCACUCCAAGUCGACACUUCAAUACUGCUCUCCGUUUGUCGCGGUCGAACCCGUAUGAAACGCCUUCAAAUGCGUGUGAUACUGUGCAACACACCUAAGUUGAUAUAGUUGUAUUCUAAGGUUGGAACCUGACUCAAGUGAUUUGCUUUGCCGAAAAUAAGGCAUGUAAACCUGUUAAAUGCUGUACUUCAAAUUACUUCGCAUGUUUUAUGUCCAUAAUUGCCCGUGAAAAAAUAUUAAAGCCUCAGUUGAUUUAGAAAGAAAGAAUUACUAUUAUUGAUGUGGUCAAAGCUCACAUGAGGGAAAACCUGUUUUGAAACUGUUAUAGUUUUGGAGCGCGCCCGCUAUGCACCAGGGGUAUUUUUUUUAUGGGAAACUCGAUUUUUUAGUCAAAUUUUCAAAAUUCCAAAAUGAAAAUGGCGGACGUGGCCUAAAAUGCUUUAUUGGCUUUUCCAAAAGUAUCUAACCUUGCAAUCAAGGUAUGCUUUUAUUUUCUGUUCAUUUUCUUAUUCAAUUUACUCUCAGCUAAUACAAGACCUUGUUACAAACAAGUUCUUCUACACGGCUUCAUUUUUGUAAAAAUCAACUUUAUGGUUAAAAAUUAUCUCUAUUCAUGACUUAAAAACAUAAUUAUGCUCGGAGACUUUAUUUCUAGGUAAAUAUUCACUUUCAAUUGAAAUUGUCACUUAAAAUAAAAAUAAAUACGAAGUAUCAAGUAAGGGAGAAAAUCGAGUAGAACAGUAAUAAUUGAAGAUUUUGCGGUCCAAAUGAACUACCGCUCUUAAAUCCACCGAUCGGUAAAACGAAAAUCCCUCCUGAAUUUAGUCAUCAGCUAUCAAUCGUGACAGUCGUGUUCUCUAGGUAUUUCUGAAGUUGAUCUCAGUUUCUUUCUAGUUUCAGUCGAUUUACUUCCCACGCAUUUUGAAAGCAAUCCGUAAACUUGCUUAUUCGCAAACUUGUUAUUUUUCCAUCAAGUCAAGUUUGCUUCCAUCGUGAAAAAAGCUUCGCCACUUCCUUUACUGGGAAUUUUUCACUUUUAAUUGCGCCUCUUAAAACCUUUCGUUCCUUUUUUCUCCUUGUCCGUCUAGUUUCAUGAGAAAACCAGCUUUGGUCUCGAAGUGCCUUUUUUCUCUGAUCUGCUGAGACGUCAAAAUAUAUCCAGGUCCUUUUGAUGUGAAAAAAAGUUGCCGAGAUAGACUGCAAAUACAAAUUCAUGAGAAACUCUAGAAUUAAAAGCGGGGAACUUUGAUUGAGCUCUGACGGCGUUGGGUCAAAGACGCAGCAAGAUAAAAACGGAUUCGAAGAAAACCCGUGACUUUCAUCUGUCAUUCUAGACGUUGAAGUUGCCUCGUUUUGAUUUUAAUUCCAUCUCUUUGAAAAUAUGAAUGUGCCGCUCUGCUUGGCCACGUUUUCCAUGCCACUCAUAGAUGACUGAAAUGGCCGCAAGUGAUUCCGGAAACUUCAAUAUUUCAAUGACUCUUUAGCAUCACAGGAUAACCACAAAUACACAAAG
rnacentral:lncRNA from 1 species